GAUGAACGCUGGCGGCGUGCUUAACACAUGCAAGUCGAACGAAGCAUUUAAGACAGAUUUUUUCGGAAUGAAGUUUUUUAUGACUGAGUGGCGGACGGGUGAGUAACGCGUGGGUAACCUGCCUCACACAGGGGGAUAGCAGUUGGAAACGACUGGUAAUACCGCGUAAGCGCACAGCUUCGCAUGAAGCGGUGUGAAAAACUCCGGUGGUGUGAGAUGGACCCGCGUCUGAUUAGGUAGUUGGUGAGGUAACGGCCCACCAAGCCGACGAUCAGUAGCCGACCUGAGAGGGUGACCGGCCACAUUGGGACUGAGACACGGCCCAGACUCCUACGGGAGGCAGCAGUGGGGAAUAUUGCACAAUGGAGGAAACUCUGAUGCAGCGACGCCGCGUGAGUGAAGAAGUAUUUCGGUAUGUGAAGCUCUAUCAGCAGGGAAGACAGUGACGGUACCUGACUAAGAAGCUCCGGCUAAAUACGUGCCAGCCGCCGCAGUAA
rnacentral:rRNA from 1 species